CCUUACGUCAGUCCAUGCAUGGACUUCUAUCACUGACGUUUUUGAUCUACAUGCUUGUAGUCAUAAACAAGAACAGGUCCAUCAGUAAGUUCAAGCAUGAACUUAAAGUUAGUAUCCUAUCGUUAUCAGAAGUUCAAGUAUGCACUCAGAUCUUCCGAUUGAUAUGAUUCUCAAGCUUGGGAAUUAAUCAAUCACUGUUACAACAACCGAGACGGCUAAACGCCAAAUGAUGUUUAUUUUAUUGUAUGUAUAUCAUGUAGUAUGUAUCUUAGUUUAUUAUAUCUUAAUAAAUAUAUAUUCUAUGUUUUGUUGUGUAUAAAGGGUUAUUUAUAUAGGUUCACUAAAUAAUUGUUUUAUACACACAAAACUAUUUUUCACGUGCACCUUAUGGUGCCUGCAUGCAGAGUGAUCAUAAGCACGUGACCUAUGCCAUAUUAAAUUGCAAUGGAGUAGUGUGGUCGAUUCUAUAUAGACUAAAACCACCUUCCCAACCGCCACCAUUGUUUCAUUAUAUUUAGAAAUUUAAUGUACUAUUAAAUUGCUGUCUCGUUAUAUAUAUCUUUUAGAUCAGCAUAUUUUCGUUAUUAUUAACUCAAUUUCCCAAAUGGAUGCAGAGUUUUGAUGUAUAAGUUGCUUGUCACAGUUUGGGACUAUAGCAGUAAUUUGGUUAAAUUUUAAAUAGACCAAACACGUGCAGAAGUUCCGGACACUAAAACAACAGAUCCCUGUUUUAAGUCAGUCCUUACGUCAGUCCAUGCUUGGACUUCUUUCACUGACGUUUUUGAUCUACAUGCUUGCAGGUCCAUCAGUAAGUUCAAGCAUGAACUUAAAGUUAGUGUCCUAGCGUAUCAGAAGUUCAAGCAUGAACUCAGAUCUUCCGAUUGAUAUGAUUCUCAAGCUUGGGAAUUAAUCAAUCAUUGUGACAACAACCGAGACGGCUACAC
rnacentral:lncRNA from 1 species